GGUAAAAUGACCUGCAAUUUGGUAAGACAUUUUCCAGAAAAUGUAGUCUUCUUCUCCUCUUUCCCCUUCCCCUUCCCCUUGGGUUGCAAAUCAGUGCCAUUGCCAGGUACCUUACCCCUCGCACUAAAUUCCUCAAGAGCUGCGCGAUUUCGAAGAACGACGACGAGAAAGUUUGGUCAAUGACCUUUUCUGGUUCCUUCUUCAUCCAGCCAAAUCUACCAUGGAUUAUUUGCUGGGUCUUGGCUUAAGGUGAUGGCUAGCAAGACGAAAAUAUACAUUGUUCUGGAACUUGUGACUGGUGGUGAACUUUUUGACAAAAUUGCAAUCAAAGGGAGGUUGAAGGAAGAUGAAGCUAGAAAGUAUUUUCAGUAGCUUAUUAAUGCUGUGGAUUACUGCCAUAGUAGGGGGUGUUUACCAUCGAGACAUCAAGGUAAUCUUCAGGCUUAGGUUGGUCGGUGCGACAGAGGCUUAGUUGUGACCACACGUUCAUAAACUCAGUUGUGACCACACAGUCAUAAACUUUGUUUUCACAAAAAAGAUUAUUUAAAUUUCUGGUUUUUGGGAGUUUGUAAUUUUUGGACUCUCUGGAUUGUUAGGUUUUAAUUUUUUAGAUUUGGGUUCGUUUUGAAUUUUCCUACGACGUUCGACAAAAUGUUUUACGAAAACAACUAUUUAUACAAUCAAUCGUUUUUGAGAGAACAUAUGUGGUUUUCAAAAAUAACAACUUUUAAGCUUCCGUUGCAAUUAUUGCUUAA